rnacentral:rRNA from 1 species
ACGAACGUUGGCGGCGUGGAUUAGGCAUGCAAGUCGAACGAAUGCUGGUCUUGUAGCAAUACAUGGCCAGCGGAAGUGGCGAAAGGGGCAGUAAUGCGUGGGUAACCUACCUUGGGGAUGGGCAUAGCCGUUCUAACGAGCGGGUAAUUCCCAGAGAUUCGACGGGAGGGCAUCCUUCUGUCGGGAAAUGAAUUUCGCCUCGAGAGGGGCCCACGUGCUAUUAGCUAGUUGGUGGGGUAACGGCCUACCAAGGCUAAGAUGGCUAGCGGGUGUGAGAGCACGACCCGCGCCACUGGCACUGAGACACUGGCCAGACACCUACGGGUGGCUGCAGUCGAGGAUCUUCGUCAAUGGGCGCAAGCCUGAACGAGCGACGCCGCGUGCGCGAUGAAGGCCUUCGGGUUGUAAAGCGCGAAAGUGGGGAUAAAGCCGAAAGGUUGAUAGAUCCACAGUAAGGACGGGCUAAGUUCGU